UACGGAGGGUGCAAGCGUUAUCCGGAUUCACUGGGUUUAAAGGGUGCGUAGGCGGGUUGGUAAGUCCGUGGUGAAAUCCCCAAGCUUAACUUGGGAACUGCCGUGGAUACUAUCAAUCUUGAAUAUCGUGGAGGUAAGCGGAAUAUGUCAUGUAGCGGUGAAAUGCUUAGAUAUGACAUAGAACACCAAUUGCGUAGGCAGCUUACUACACGAUCAUUGACGCUGAGGCACGAAAGCGUGGGGAGCAAACAGGAUUA
rnacentral:rRNA from 1 species